UCAACUUGGAAAUGGUUUUCGCACACUUGUAAAUAUACAGAACAAUAAAAUGAUUGUUCAUUGAAAUAAUUGCAUGAUGAUAAUUGAUCUGGACGAUACCACGCCUUAAUUAUUUUAGGGCGCUGCUGAUUACGUCGAUUAAUAUUAAGAAAAAAAAAAUAUAUAUAUAUACAUAUAUAUAUAAACAUAUAUAUAUAGAUGUUUAGGGUAAAAUGUUUCUAUGCAUAUAGAUUAAUGGCAUACAUAAUACAAUAUUAUAUAAAUACAAUAUUAUUAUUAUUAUUAUAUAUUAUAUUAUGCAUACAUAAUACACAUUUGAAUUGGAUUAGAACAAGCUUUGGUUGGAAUGAAUUCUCGAAUUCUCAUAUCGAUGUUAGCACUCUGUUGGUUGGUACCGCGUCCUCUUAAAAAGGACGCGAAGUUGGCUUCCAAAAGAGGAACAUGAAUUAAAAAAAGGUUUUUAAAGUAAGUCAAUGAGAGAGAGAGAGAGAAAAAGUGUGACCAGACUAAAUUAUUACACUAAAUCCCGCAGAUCGGUACCUCGAUGCAAAAACUUUUUCCCCCUUUGUGAUAAGUAAUUAGCACCGCAGCGUUGGCGAUAUUGAAAAAUAAACAAUAUUAAUAAUCGAAAAAAGAUCGCAAAUAAAAAUAGAGAAUGUAAA